rnacentral:rRNA from 1 species
GCCCAGACUCCUACGGGAGGCAGCAGUGAGGAAUAUUGGUCAAUGGGCGGGAGCCUGAACCAGCCAAGCCGCGUGAGGGAAGAAGGUACAGCGUAUCGUAAACCUCUUUUGUCAGGGAACAAAGGCGGGGACUAGUCCCCGGAUGAGGGUACCUGAAGAAAAAGCAUCGGCUAACUCCGUGCCAGCAGCCGCGGUAAUACGGAGGAUGCGAGCGUUAUCCGGAUUUAUUGGGUUUAAAGGGUGCGCAGGCGGAACAUUAAGUCAGCGGUAAAAUCGAGGGGCUCAACCCCUUUAAGCCGUUGAAACUGGUGAUCUUGAGUGGGCGAGAAGUAUGCGGAAUGCGUGGUGUAGCGGUGAAAUGCAUAGAUAUCACGCAGAACUCCGAUUGCGAAGGCAGCAUACCGGCGCUCAACUGACGCUCAUGCACGAAAGUGUGGGUAUCGAACAGGAUUAGAUACCCUCGUA